rnacentral:rRNA from 1 species
UACGUAGGGUGCGAGCGUUGUCCGGAAUUAUUGGGCGUAAAGGGCUCGUAGGCGGUUUGUCGCGUCGGGAGUGAAAACCAGGUGCUUAACACCUGGCUUGCUUUCGAUACGGGCAGACUAGAGGUAUGCAGGGGAGAACGGAAUUCCUGGUGUAGCGGUGAAAUGCGCAGAUAUCAGGAGGAACACCGGUGGCGAAGGCGGUUCUCUGGGAAUGACCUGACGCUGAGGAGCGAAAGUGUGGGGAGCGAACAGG